CCUACGGGAGGCAGCAGUGAGGAAUAUUGGUCAAUGGGCGGGAGCCUGAACCAGCCAAGCCGCGUGAGGGAAGAAGGUACAGCGUAUCGUAAACCUCUUUUGUCAGGGAACAAAGGCGGGGACUAGUCCCCGGAUGAGGGUACCUGAAGAAAAAGCAUCGGCUAACUCCGUGCCAGCAGCCGCGGUAAUACGGAGGAUGCGAGCGUUAUCCGGAUUUAUUGGGUUUAAAGGGUGCGCAGGCGGCCUGUUAAGUCAGCGGUAAAAGCCCGGGGCUCAACCCCGUCCGGCCGUUGAAACUGGGGGCCUUGAGUGGGCGAGAAGAAGGCGGAAUGCGUGGUGUAGCGGUGAAAUGCAUAGAUAUCACGCAGAACCCCGAUUGCGAAGGCAGCCUUCCGGCGCCCUACUGACGCUGAGGCACGAAAGUGCGGGGAUCGAACAGGAUUAGAUACCCGAGUAGUC
rnacentral:rRNA from 1 species